UGAACCAGGACAAUACGGUUUUGUACAAGUAACCAAGGAUAAAGGGGGUUAAGACUGUAUUUAAGUCUUAAAUCAAGGUUGACUCAGUCUUCCAUCCUUUCUAAGGGUGCAGGUAUAGUUAACCAUUAUUACACUUUUGGAUGAAGAGUCAUGGCAGCAAGACUGGCAAUCCCAACAGGUUAAACCAGAAUUCUUGAUAUUAGAAGACAAGAACCCUUCAGACUUGACAGAAUGUGAACUGCUUGCUGGGACUCAGUCAUUCAAUCUGAUUGGCACAAAAAACAUUGCAACUCUCUGGUCCCUUGCAACUCAAAUCAAACACAGUUCUGUCUUUAAGGUCAACCAUGACAGUAAUUGGAUUUGAUGAUUCUGUUUAUUCCCUGACAGAGCUUCCUUAGACUGUGAAAGCUGUGAAAAUCUCUCAUCUAAACCUUUCUUUCAAAGCUUC